rnacentral:rRNA from 1 species
CGGAGUUAGCCGAUGCUUAUUCCUCAGGUACCGUCAAAAUUCUUCCCUGAGAAAAGAGGUUUACAGUCCAAGAACCUUCCUCCCUCACGCGGUAUUGCUCCGUCAGGCUUUCGCCCAUUGCGGAAAAUUCCCC